ACGGACACAUCACGUUGAAACACCGGUUCUCGCACGAUCACCGAAAUUAAGCAACCCCGCGUCUGGUCAGUACCUAGAUGGGGGAUCUCAUGGGAAUACCUGGUGCUGUAAG